rnacentral:rRNA from 1 species
UACGUAGGGUGCAGGCGUUAAUCGGAAUUACUGGGCGUAAAGCGUGCGCAGGCGGUUUCUUAAGUCAGAUGUGAAAGCCCCGGGCUUAACCUGGGAACUGCGUUUGAAACUGGGAGAACUAGAGUGUGGCAGAGGGGGGUGGAAUUCCACGUGUAGCAGUGAAAUGCGUAGAUAUGUGGAGGAACACCGAUGGCGAAGGCAGCCCCUGGGUUAACACUGACGCUCAUGCACGAAAGCGUGGGGAGCAAACAGG